UGUGUGUGUGUGUGUCUCUCUGUGUGUGUGUGUGUGUGUGUGUGUGUGUGUGUUCAGGCGGUGUUCCUCAGGUGUUCCUCACAGCUCCUCCCGGUACGGUUCAGAUUCCCGUCUCGGCGGUGCAGCUUCAUCCAGUACGGCAAGAUCAACACUUCACAAAUGGUGAUUGGUCAGCAGUCCAGCGGCAGCAGCAGUAGCCUGACCGAGCUUCAGGUCGUCAGUCUGGAUGCCUCACACAACGCCAACGCCACCAGAGACUGACGCCGCUAUUUAUUAACGCCUUUCUGAGACUGUCCUUUAUACAUGUGAUUCUACAGUUUCUACUGUAGACGAGACUGUAGAGGAUGAUCGUUCCUCCGCAGCACAGUCAGUGAUGAAGUGUGUGUGUGAGUGUGUGUGAGUGUGUGUGUUUGUGAGUGUGUGUGAGAGAGAGAGAGAGA